rnacentral:snRNA from 1 species
AUUCAGACUAGAAACUAUUGGGUCUCACAUUUACGUGAGAGCCCUCCAAAAAUAGGCGUAUGCCACUUGGCGUGGAGAGCACACGGUAUUCUUUAGUAAAAGGCGAAAGAGUAGUUCGCUUUGUGCUCACCACAUGGCUGCGUG